rnacentral:rRNA from 1 species
AGAGAGUGCGAGCGUUAAUCGGAAUCACUGGGCGUAAAGCGCGCGUAGGUGGACUAUUAAGUUGGGAUGUGAAAGCCCCGGGCUUAACUCGGGAACUGCAUCCAAAACUGGUUAUCUAGAGUAUGGUAGAGGGAAGUGGAAUUUCCGGUGUAGCGGUGAAAUGCGUAGAUAUCGGAAGGAACAUCAAUGGCGAAGGCAACUUCCUGGACCAAUACUGACACUGAGGUGCGAAAGCGUGGGGAGCAAACAGGAUUAGAGACCCUGGUAGUCCACGCCGUCAACGAUGAGAACUAGAUGUUGGGGGGGAUACCCCUUAGUAUCGAAGCUAACGCGUUAAGUUCUCCGCCUGGGGAGUACGGCCGCAAGGCUA